AAGAGUACAUCAAACACAGGAUCAGCUGCUAACGGUUUAUUAUGGACUUUGAUGGCCACCGUCAAUCUCUCAAUACUGCUAUUCUUAAAAAUCACUUACGCAGUUUUGCUUUUUUAUAUCGACUUUCGAAUCCGUUUAACGCAUUAGCUUUUAAUCUGCGUAAAAAAAACAUUUGUUGUUAGAGGAUAAAUGAAGUUUACAAUGUAGCACUUGCCUCGGUAAAGAGGGGGAAAACUUGGAAUCUUCCGUAUUUUGUUCUAAAUUGGAAGUAGAUCUUUUUAUUUCCUACGUUUAAUUUUGAUUGAUACGAAACGUGUUUUAAAUCAUUUGGCAUUUUUACGUUGAAGACGUUCAGGUAGUGUUGGCGACCACGAUUUCAUUUGUGACUUCGUUAUUAGGUUCUUCUCUGCUUUGUUCUUCGGAAUACAAAGGAGAGUCAUUGACAUCUUGAACAUUGCGAAUGAUGCUCAAUUUUAUCCCGGGCUCGGUUUUCGAUGCUGGGAAGGAGUUUUUUCAGGGGUCGGGGUUUUCGGACUUCAGUCAACAGCUCACCCGUUCCCAUUUUUUAACGCUGGUGUCUUUGCUGCUGGGGGGUGUGGUUUUCUUUGUUAUUGUUUUCCUGAGAAAAAGAGGCCAGCGUGGACCUUUGACCACCUCACCCGGAGACUACAGCACGGGCUUCCCUUUAGACCUGGUCUUGCACAGAAAACCUGUCUCUGGCCUGAACACCAAGAAGAACAGACCUCAUGAGGACCUCGCGAAGAAAAAAAGAAGAGAGAAAGAUAAGGAACCAGCAAAUGGACAGCCACCAGUUUCCCCUGAAAGCAGAGCUUCUGGCAAUGAUGGCACACAGGCACCAACUGCUUUAGACAAGAAGCAGCUGAAGCCUAAGAAGAAGAAGAGAAAGAUUGACAUUGUGGAAGAGAGGCUUACAAAGGAUAUCUUUCCUGGCAAAGAGAAGAGUGAAGAAGAGGAAACAGGUAUUUGGGUGACAAAAAUCAGCAGUCGAGAGAAGAGACAGCUCAGGAGGGAGCGGAUGAAACAGAAGGAGACUGUGAGCAGGAGCUCUCCGCACCCCCCUGUGGACGAAGGAUCCAGCCUCUGGAGUGAAAGAGCUGACAAGGAGACUGGUUGGCGAGCUCCUCUUCAGGGGGAAAGCCCUGCAGGAUGGGGAGUUCCCGAGGCCAAACUGUCAGCUGGCCUAUGGCAGGAGUCUCUGCCACAGGCCGUGCGCAAGGCAAACCGGAGACCAGUUGAAUGGGUGCCACCAGGAAAACUGGAAGAGGAUAUUUUCUCCCAUGUAGGAACUUGGAGUAUGAAGGCCAUGAAAACAAAGCCUGUGACCUUUGGGACUGUUUCUGACUUCCCUUCAGAAUUUGAUAACCCAGAUGGUGCCACGCCACAGGGUAGCCCGUCUCACAGCCCGCGCCAAGCUCACAUGUCCUCUCUGGGGGUGGACGCAGCUUGGCUAGGACUAGAAGAUCCUUUUGAUGCUGACCAGACUUCAGACUGGAAUGCCCCCACUGAAGAGUGGGGCAACUGGUGUGGAGAGACCCCUCCACUGGUGGAGCCAGAGAUACAGCCUAUCAUGAACAGACAGCAGGGCCAGGGACCGGGGAGGAGAGGGAUGGAGGAAGGAAGCGCAUCGGCACAGGGGCCCCAGCGGCCUGCAGAUGGUACGGAGGUGAAGAGCCCGAGUGGCACGCCAUCAGCUGACGGUGAGCAGUGGUCCUCUGGGUCUUCCAGCCGGGGCGGAGCUCUAGAAUAUAGGGACAGUGACAAAUGA
ensembl:lincRNA